rnacentral:tRNA from 1 species
AGCUUUGAGGUGUUACCACAUAUGAUUGCAAAUCAUAAGUAGCAGGUUUGUUUCCUGCCUGGGCUU